rnacentral:lncRNA from 1 species
AGCAGCAGCAACAGCAGUAGUUGCAGCAGCAGCAACAGCAGUAGUAGCAGCAGCAACAGCAGUAGCAGCAGCAGCAACAGCAGUAGUAGCAGCAGCAGCAACAGCAGUAGUUGCAGCAGCAGCAACAGCAGUAGUUGCAGCAGCAGCAACAGCAGUAGUUGCAGCAGCAGCAACAGCAGUAGUUGCAGCAGCAGCAACAGCAGUAGUUGCAGCAGCAGCAGUAGUAACAACAACAGCAGCAGUAGUAACAGCAGUAGCAGCAGUAGUAACAACAACAGCAGCAGUAGUAACAACAACAGCAGCAGCAGUAGUAACAACAGCAGCAGCAGCAGUAGUAACAACAGCAGCAGCAGCAGUAGUAACAACAACAGCAGCAGCAGUAGUAACAACAACAGCAGCAGCAGCAGCAGUAGUAACAACAGCAGCAGCAGCAGCAGUAGUAACAGCAACAGCAGCAGCAGUAGCAGCAGCAGCAGCAGUAACAACAACAGCAGCAGUAGUAACAACAACAGCAGCAGUAGUAACAGCAGUAGUAGCAGUAGUAACAACAGCAGUAGCAGCAGUAGUAACAACAACAGCAGCAGCAGUAGUAACAACACAGCAGCAGCAGUAGUAACAACAACAGCAGCAGCAGUAGUAACAACAACAGCAGCAGCAGUACAGUCAGCAGCAGCAGCAGCAGCAGUAGUAACAACAACAGCAGCAGCAGUAGUAACAACAACAGCAGCAGCAACAGUAGUAACAACAACAGCAGCAGCAGCAGUAGUAACAACAGCAGCAGCAGCAGCAGUAGUAACAACAACAGCAGCAGCAGCAGCAGCAA